rnacentral:rRNA from 1 species
GGUGGCGAUGGCGGUGAGGAUCCACCUGUUCUCAUUCCGAACACAGAAGUUAAGCUCACUUGCGCCGACAAUACUUUGCGGGCGACCGCACGGGAAGAUAGGUAGCUGCCG